rnacentral:rRNA from 1 species
CUAGCGACUUCAGAGUUUGAUCCUGGCUCAGACGAACGCUGGCGGCGUGCCUACACAUGCAAGUCGAACGGGGUGAUGACUUCGGUUAUUACUUAGUGGCGAACGGGUGAGUAACGCGUGAGAAACCUGCCUUUCAGUGGGGGACAACAGUUGGAAACGACUACUAAUACCGCAUAAUGUUAUUUAAGGGCAUCCUUGAAUAACCAAAGAUUUAUUGCUGAAAGAUGGUCUCGCGUCUGAUUAGCUAGAUGGCGGGGUAACGGCCCACCAUGGCGACGAUCAGUAGCCGGUCUGAGAGGAUGAACGGCCACAUUGGGACUGAGAUACGGCCCAG